rnacentral:rRNA from 1 species
AACAGACGAGGAGCUUGCUCCUCUGACGUUAGCGGCGGACGGGUGAGUAACACGUGGAUAACCUACCUAUAAGACUGGGAUAACUUCGGGAAACCGGAGCUAAUACCGGAUAAUAUAUUGAACCGCAUGGUUCAAUAGUGAAAGACGGUUUUGCUGUCACUUAUAGAUGGAUCCGCGCCGCAUUAGCUAGUUGGUAAGGUAACGGCUUACCAAGGCAACGAUGCGUAGCCGACCUGAGAGGGUGAUCGGCCACACUGGAACUGAGACACGGUCCAGACUCCUACGGGAGGCAGCAGUAGGGAAUCUUCCGCAAUGGGCGAAAGCCUGACGGAGCAACGCCGCGUGAGUGAUGAAGGUCUUCGGAUCGUAAAACUCUGUUAUUAGGGAAGAACAAAUGUGUAAGUAACUAUGCACGUCUUGACGGUACCUAAUCAGAAAGCCACGGCUAACUACGUGCCAGCAGCCGCGGUAAUACGUAGGUGGCAAGCGUUAUCCGGAAUUAUUGGGCGUAAAGCGCGCGUAGGCGGUUUUUUAAGUCUGAUGUGAAAGCCCACGGCUCAACCGUGGAGGGUCAUUGGAAACUGGAAAACUUGAGUGCAGAAGAGGAAAGUGGAAUUCCAUGUGUAGCGGUGAAAUGCGCAGAGAUAUGGAGGAACACCAGUGGCGAAGGCGACUUUCUGGUCUGUAACUGACGCUGAUGUGCGAAAGCGUGGGGAUCAAACAGGAUUAGAUACCCUGGUAGUCCACGCCGUAAACGAUGAGUGCUAAGUGUUAGGGGGUUUCCGC